GAGAGGUCACGUCUCAUGCCGU
rnacentral:miRNA from 1 species